UAUAAAACAAAUAAUGAAUGUUUUUAUUCGUGCAAUGGUAAGAAUAUUUUCAUUGGGUGAAAGAUGGAAUGUUCCAUUCAAUGGAAUGGAACAUUCCAUCUUUCACCUCAUAAAAAUAUUCUUACCAUUGCACUCAUAAACAUUCAUUAUUUGUAUACUA